rnacentral:rRNA from 1 species
CCUACGGGCGGCAGCCGUGGGGGAUAUUGCACAAUGGGGGAAACCCUGAUGCAGCGACGCCGCGUGGGUGAAGAAGCGCCUCGGCGCGUAAAGCCCUGUCAGCAGGGAAGAAAAUGACGGUACCUGAAGAAGAAGCCCCGGCUAAUUACGUGCCAGCAGCCGCGGUAAUACGUAGGGGGCAAGCGGUAUCCGGAUUUACUGGGUGUAAAGGGGGCGCAGCCGGCGAUGCAAGCCAGGAGUGAAAGCCCGGGGCCCAACCCCGGGACUGCUCUUGGAACUGCGUGGCUAGAGUGCAGGAGGGGCAGGCGGAAUUCCUGGUGUAGCGGUGAAAUGCGUAGAUAUCAGGAGGAACACCGGUGGCGAAGGCGGCCUGCUGGACUGCAACUGACGUUGAGGCCCGAAAGCGUGGGGAGCAAACAGGAUUAGAUACCCCUGUAGUC